rnacentral:lncRNA from 1 species
AGAACCUUAGCUCUGAUACCCGUUGUUAGAAAAAUAAUAUAAAAAUGAAUUUCUACAUACGCGGAAGCAUACCCACAAAAAAGAAAAGGAAGAAAAAAUUCAAACAAAAACUCAUAAAAUCAUAAUUCAACUUCAAAUAUUUACAAAACAAAAUUACAAACUCUCAUUAAAUUGCAAAUUUUAAGGAGAAAAUUGCAAACCCCCCAAACUGCAAUUUUUGAACGGAAAAAUUGCAAAAUCUCUCUCAGUUACUAUAAUUUUUGAACGGAAAAAUUGCAAACCCUCUCUUAAUUACAAUUUUUGAACGUAAAAAUUGCAAACCCUAUCAACAAACUAAUUUUGAACGGAAAAAUAAAAAACUUUCUCAACAAAUUAUUUUUAAUAGAAAAAUAGAA